CUACUUUGAAAAUGAUGAAUUUAAGAAAAUUAGUGAACGUAACAAGCAAAAUCGUGCCAAAAAUGACUGCUACACUACUGUUGGCACAAAAUCGCUUGCAAGAGUUGUUGAGGAAAAGAAAAGGAAAGAAGAUGUCGAGCUUUCAGAGAUAGACAUGUUUGAGUUAAGUCGAAAGUCAAAGAAGUCAGGGGGGCUGGUAAAUGACAAAGCAAAAGAGACCUUGGACAAAAUGAGGGAAUUGCAGGCUACAACUUCAAUGACUAGCAAGGAAAUAUGCGAGCAAGAACUUGGUUACGUACCUGGACACAUCCGCGGUCGUAGUGCAACCAAGAAGCAAGCUGCUGAGGUAGAACGC